UAGCGCAGCCAGGUAGCGCACUUGACUGGAUCAAGGGGCGCUGGUUCGAUAUGAGGGCCAGCG
rnacentral:tRNA from 1 species